UACAGAGGGUGCAAGCGUUAAUCGGAAUUACUGGGCGUAAAGCGUGCGCAGGCGGUUUUGUAAGACAGGCGUGAAAUCCCCGGGCUUAACCUGGGAACUGCGUUUGUGACUGCAAGGCUAGAGUACGGCAGAGGGGGGUGGAAUUCCACGUGUAGCAGUGAAAUGCGUAGAGAUGUGGAGGAACACCAAUGGCGAAGGCAGCCCCCUGGGUCGAUACUGACGCUCAUGCACGAAAGCGUGGGUAGCAAACAGG
rnacentral:rRNA from 1 species